rnacentral:rRNA from 1 species
GAUGAACGCUGGCGGCGUGCCUAAUACAUGCAAGUCGAGCGAACAGAUGAGAAGCUUGCUUCUCCGAUGUUAGCGGCGGACGGGUGAGUAACACGUGGGUAACCUACCUAUAAGACUGGGAUAACUCCGGGAAACCGGGGCUAAUACCGGAUAAUAUUUUGAACCGCAUGGUUCAAUAGUGAAAGACGGUUUCGGCUGUCACUUAUAGAUGGACCCGCGCCGUAAUAGCUAGUUGGUAAGGUAACGGCUUACCAAGGCGACGAUACGUAGCCGACCUGAGAGGGUGAUCGGCCACACUGGAACUGAGACACGGUCCAGACUCCUACGGGAGGCAGCAGUAGGGAAUCUUCCGCAAUGGGCGAAAGCCUGACGGAGCAACGCCGCGUGAGUGAUGAAGGUCUUCGGAUCGUAAAACUCUGUUGUUAGGGAAGAACAAAUUGUUAGUAACUGAACAAAUCUUGACGGUACCUAACCAGAAAGCCACGGCUAACUACGGGCCAGCAGCCGCAGUAA